UACGGGGGGAGCAAGCGUUGUUCGGAUUUACUGGGCGUAAAGGGCGCGUAGGCGGCCACCGCAAGUCAAUUGUGAAAUUUCGGGGCUCAACCCCGAGCUUGCAGUGGGUACGGGCAGACUAGAGUGUGGUAGGGGAGACUGGAAUUCCUGGUGUAGCGGUGAAAUGCGCAGAUAUCAGGAGGAACACCGAUGGCGAAGGCAGGUCUCUGGGCCACUACUGACGCUGAGAAGCGAAAGCAUGGGGAGCGAACAGG
rnacentral:rRNA from 1 species